UACGUAGGGGGCAAGCGUUGUCCGGAAUCAUUGGGCGUAAAGCGCCGUGUAGGCGGCUCGGUAAGUCUGCUCUGAAAGCCUGGGGCUCAACCCUGGGAGGCGGGUGGAUACUGCUGAGCUCGAGUCCGGAAGAGGCGAGUGGAAUUCCUGGUGGUAGCGGUGAAAUGCGCAGAUAUCAGGAGGAACACCAAUGGCGAAGGCAGCUCGCUGGGACGGUACUGACGCUGAGACGCGAAAGCGUGGGGAGCAAACAGG
rnacentral:rRNA from 1 species